CUUUGAAGCUAUCUGUUGCAGAGUCUUCUCUCCUAGUUAAGCAGUGUGCCCAGGACAGUAGAAAAGAAACAGUUCCUGCACUCUCCAGAAUUGUACAGUACUAUUAUCCUGUCAAUGCUAAUUUGGAAUUAAUUGCCCAUCCAGUCCAGUAUCCUGUCUCCUACAGCAGCCCCUUACAGAUGAUUCAGUUUGCACAAUGCAGCAAAUUGUACAAUAUUGUGCUAUGAAUCGAAACAAUGUCGAGAUGAGGAGAUUGACAACAAUACUGGAAAGACAAACAAGAGGUGGGAGUGAAAAAAAAUGCCCCUUUUCUAUAAGAGGGCACUUCUUUCUCCCAUUUUCAAUGAUGGAAGUCUGAGAUUAGGUUAUUGUCUAUUACAGCUUUAUGAGGGUUGGUCGAUGUCAAGUCAUGAAAGCUCAAAAGCAGAUCUCUGGUACAUUGGAGAGUAGUUCCAGGCUAAUCUAUACAAUUUGAACCUUCAGUGUCAUUAAUAAAUGGAUAGGUAACCAAGGACGCACAUCAGUCUGUCUUAAAAGGUACAAUACAUUGAGAAACUGAAUUGUUUUCAUUAAUAUCUGAGACCAGUUUGGAAAUUUAAGCUAUGAUAAAGUAACUCUUCUUUUUAUCUGACUAAAAGGACAUCCCAAGGCUUCUAUAAUUAUUACUGGAUUUCAGUAAAGCUACAGUUACUCAAACUCAAUUCCUGAUGGAGUGCUUAUUUGUGCUGUGCUUUGGGCAAGUAAUGUGGAGGGCUCAGUGAUGCUUGCACUGUUUCCUUAGAGAUAUGUGUUAAUGAAGCUGAAA